rnacentral:rRNA from 1 species
UGUUAAAAUACUGGUUCCUGUAUGAUCACUGAAGUUAAGCAAUGCAGAGCCUAGUCAGUACCUAGAUGAGUGACUGCUUGAGGAUACCAGGUGCUGUAAG